UACGUAGGGUCCGAGCGUUGUCCGGAAUUACUGGGCGUAAAGAGCUCGUAGGUGGUUUGUCGCGUUGUUCGUGAAAACUCACAGCUCAACUGUGGGCGUGCGGGCGAUACGGGCAGACUUGAGUACUGCAGGGGAGACUGGAAUUCCUGGUGUAGCGGUGGAAUGCGCAGAUAUCAGGAGGAACACCGGUGGCGAAGGCGGGUCUCUAGGCCGACACUGACGCUGAGGAAGCGAAAGCGUGGGGAGCGAACAGG
rnacentral:rRNA from 1 species